UACGUAGGUGGCAAGCGUUGUCCGGAUUUAUUGGGUUUAAAGGGUGCGUAGGCGGUUCUAUAAGUCAGUGGUGAAAUCCGGCAGCUCAACUGUCGAUGUGCCAUUGAUACUGCAGAACUUGAGUACAGACGAGGUAGGCGGAAUUGACGGUGUAGCGGUGAAAUGCGUAGAGAUCGGAAAGAACACCAACGGCGAAAGCACUCUGCUGGGCCGACACUGACACUGAGAGACGAAAAGCUAGGGGGAGCGAAUGGG
rnacentral:rRNA from 1 species